rnacentral:rRNA from 1 species
ACCCGCUGAACUUAAGCAUAUCAAUAAGCGGAGGAAAAGAAACCAACAGGGAUUGCCCUAGUAACGGCGAGUGAAGCGGCAACAGCUCAAAUUUGAAAUCUGGCGUCUUUGGCGUCCGAGUUGUAAUUUGUAGAGGAUGCUUUUGGGUUGCCACCGGUCUAAGUUCCUUGGAACAGGACGUCAUAGAGGGUGAGAAUCCCGUAUGUGACCGGCUUAGGCACCCUUUGUAAAGCUCCUUCGACGAGUCGAGUUGUUUGGGAAUGCAGCUCUAAAUGGGAGGUAAAUUUCUUCUAAAGCUAAAUACCGGCCAGAGACCGAUAGCGCACAAGUAGAGUGAUCGAAAGAUGAAAAGCACUUUGGAAAGAGAGUUAAAAAGCACGUGAAAUUGUUGAAAGGGAAGCGCUUGCAGCCAGACUUGCCUGUAGUUGCUCAUCCGGGUUUUUACCCGGUGCACUCUUCUAUAGGCAGGCCAGCAUCAGUUUGGGCGGUUGGAUAAAGGUCUCUGUCAUGUACCUCUCUUCGGGGAGAACUUAUAGGGGAGACGACAUGCAACCAGCCCGGACUGAGGUCCGCGCAUCUGCUAGGAUGCUGGCGUAAUGGCUGU